rnacentral:rRNA from 1 species
GACGUAGGGCGCGAGCGUUGUCCGGAUUUAUUGGGCGUAAAGAGCUCGUAGGCGGUCUGUCGCGUCGAUCGUGAAAUCUCUGAGCUUAACUCAGAACGGCCAAGUGAUACUGCAGUGCUAGAGUGCAGAAGGGGCAAUCGGAAUUCUUGGUGUAGCGGUGAAAUGCGUAGAUAUCAAGAGGAACACCUGAGGUGAAGACGGGUUGCUGGGCUGACACUGACGCUGAGUGCGCGAAAGCCAGGGGAGCAAACGGG